rnacentral:lncRNA from 1 species
AUUGAUUCAACCUUCUCCUUUCUCUUUCCCCAGCAUCACACUAAAUGAAAAGCUGUCAUGUGACAAUGAGAAGCAAAAACAGAUUUAGAUAAUCAUUUAUGAUGCCACAUAAGCAGAAUUCUGGUGUAGCGAGAGAGCAUGAGAGUUCAGCAAGUCUCAAAGUGAGUACAGAAGAGUAUUUGCAUCUAAAAAUGACAACAUAGAAACAAAGGUAAGAUAAG